rnacentral:sRNA from 1 species
CCUACAGGGAAGGAUGAGAAGCUUCGACUAAGGUUCGACUCGAGCGAAGCGAGAGAACGUUGCCGCAGGCAACGGCCCGAAGGGCGAAGCGCUUUAGCGCCGAGUAAUCCUUCCCCCACCACUG